AAAUUAUGGAAUUUGGAUCACCUUUUUUUCUGACAGGACUAUCUGUUUUGAAGGAAUUGUAAACAGUGCCUGUUAAUUUAAAGCAAUCUCACCAGCCACUGCUGUGGGAGGAUUACCUGGUCACCCAUUCAAGGCAAGACACAAUGUCAUUUAGAAACAAAUCGCUGGGCUGUGCUAGUGCUAUAACUUGAUUCAGAGUAAGUGGAAUACUUUAGUAGUAUAGUAGUUGUAGAGUGUGUUGUGAUAAAUGAUCAUUAGAAAGCUCUUGGUGUCUUCAUGUGCAGUGCAGACACAGUGACAGAACCAUAUAGGUAAAAAUGAACCAUAGGAGGUAAAAAUUACCUCAGUAUAUGCUUCUUAGAGAGGACCCUACAUUUGAGAAUAUCAAAAUAUUUUAUAGAGAUUUAAUACAGAAUGCCAACAGGUUUCAUGAGUAUUAUUUUCAUCUAACUGCUGAAGGAAACAGCAAUAUAAAGAAACAGUGAUUUUUAAGAACUGUGAUGAUGGAGAAUUUGCAGACUGGGCAGAGAAACAACUAAAAUCCUAAUGGAGAGGCAGGUUUCUCAUUUUAUUGGUUUUUGCAUAUUUCUAUUAUAUUAGUAAUAAAAGUGAUGUUUUUAAAGUAUGUGCUGUAGUGAUUAUAAUUUGGUAAUAUGGAGAACAUCUGGUUCUGACUUUUAGUUACUGUAAGGUAAGAUCAAUAGAUUCUUGUGUAUGCAAGUCAAAUCUGGUAUUGGGGUAUAUCUAUAUUGGGAAGAGGUGGAAGAAAAAUUUUUUCAUGUUUCUUUUAAUUUUGUGUUUUACUUUACUUUAGAUACUAUUCCCCUCACUGAAAACUUGAAGUAAAGAGAUUUUGGUUUUAAUACUGGUAACAGUCUUUAUAUUUUAUUAGCUUUCAGUCUGCUGAGAUCAAAAAUUCCUAUCAAGUAUUGACAAUUUCACUUAUGUACCAGAUGUAAUUUAUGAGAAUACUUUAGUUUUUCUGAAUCACUUUAUUGGUAGAAUGAUUUAAACAUUGCCUGAAACCUGAAAAAUAUAUGCAAAAUGUGCAAAG